CUACCCGCCACGCGCUCCAAACUGGCCUAUAAGGCACAGCCCUCCCCCUACCUCCCCUACUGGGCCUUGGAGAUGUGGGCGCCCCGCGGCACUGGCAAGUCCCUCCAG
rnacentral:lncRNA from 1 species